rnacentral:rRNA from 1 species
CCUACGGGUGGCAGCAGUGGGGAAUAUUGGGCAAUGGAGGCAACUCUGACCCAGCAACGCCGCGUGAAUGAUGAAGGUCUUCGGAUUGUAAAGUUCUUUUCUAAGGGAAGAAGAAAGUGACGGUACCUUAGGAAUAAGCCUCGGCAAACUACGUGCCAGCAGCCGCGGUAAUACGUAGGAGGCAAGCGUUAUCCGGAAUGACUGGGUGUAAAGGGAGCGUAGGCGGGGAUGCAAGUGGGGUGUCAAAACUAUCGGCUCAACCGAUAGUCGCACUCAAAACUGCAGCUCUUGAGUGAAGUAGAGGCAGGCGGAAUUCCUAGUGUAGCGGUGAAAUGCGUAGAUAUUAGGAGGAACACCAGUGGCGAAGGCGGCCUGCUGGGCUUUUACUGACGCUGAGGCUCGAAAGUGUGGGGAGCAAACAGGAUUAGAUACCCCGGUAGUC